AAAUUGAAGAGUUUGAUCAUGGCUCAGAUUGAACGCUGGCGGCAGGCCUAACACAUGCAAGUCGAACGGUAACAGGAAGCAGCUUGCUGCUUCGCUGACGAGUGGCGGACGGGUGAGUAAUGUCUGGGAAACUGCCUGAUGGAGGGGGAUAACUACUGGAAACGGUGGCUAAUACCGCAUAACGUCGCAAGACCAAAGAGGGGGACCUUCGGGCCUCUUGCCAUCAGAUGUGCCCAGAUGGGAUUAGCUUGUUGGUGAGGUAACGGCUCACCAAGGCGACGAUCCCUAGCUGGUCUGAGAGGAUGACCAGCCACACUGGAACUGAGACACGGUCCAGACUCCUACGGGAGGCAGCAGUGGGGAAUAUUGCACAAUGGGCGCAAGCCUGAUGCAGCCAUGCCGCGUGUAUGAAGAAGGCCUUCGGGUUGUAAAGUACUUUCAGCGGGGAGGAAGGUGUUGCGGUUAAUAACCGCAGCAAUUGACGUUACCCGCAGAAGAAGCACCGGCUAACUCCGUGCCAGCAGCCGCGGUAAUACGGAGGGUGCAAGCGUUAAUCGGAAUUACUGGGCGUAAAGCGCACGCAGGCGGUCUGUCAAGUCGGAUGUGAAAUCCCCGGGCUCAACCUGGGAACUGCAUUCGAAACUGGCAGGCUUGAGUCUUGUAGAGGGGGGUAGAAUUCCAGGUGUAGCGGUGAAAUGCGUAGAGAUCUGGAGGAAUACCGGUGGCGAAGGCGGCCCCCUGGACAAAGACUGACGCUCAGGUGCGAAAGCGUGGGGAGCAAACAGGAUU
rnacentral:rRNA from 1 species